GGACUACAGGGGUAUCUAAUCCUGUUUGCUCCCCACGCUUUCGUGCAUGAGCGUCAGUGUUAUCCCAGGGGGCUGCCUUCGCCAUUGGUAUUCCUCCACAUAUCUACGCAUUUCACUGCUACACGUGGAAUUCUACCCCCCUCUGACACACUCUAGCUAUACAGUCACAGGCGCCAUUCCCAGGUUAAGCCCGGGGAUUUCACGCCUGUCUUGUAUAACCGCCUGCGCACGCUUUACGCCCAGUAAUUCCGAUUAACGCUCGCACCCUACGUAUUACCGCGGCGGCUGGCACC
rnacentral:misc_RNA from 1 species